UUGAUUCGAAUAGAUAUUGAUUUAUAAUGCGUCAAACUUUAAUGUACACUAUUUCAUAAUAGCUUUAAUUGUGUAAAACGUUGCACCAUUGAAGUACUAAAUUCAAGGUGAUUCCUUUCAUGGACUAAGUAUAAAAUGGAUGACUCAGAUAGCAUUCAAUAAUUAGACAAUACAUAUAUCGAUAAACAUAUAUACAAUUGACGAAUUUAAAUACAAAUGUUCUCCUACAUUAUCAGGCAUUUGAAAACACGUGGUUUAGUAAAAUUACACUUAUUGAUAUUUUCUUCAUAAAAUAUAUACGAACUGAAAGACUAGUAAACAAAGAAAGCUUGGACAAUGGUUAACAACACCUAAUAUAAAGGCUAGUUAUGAGUAGAAAAGAGAGCAGGUCUUUUUAUGUUGCCUUUUGAAAAUAUGGCGAAGGAAACUAACAUGGUAAAUUAUUUAACAAAAUUAAAGGGCAUCGUUAAUAUAGAAACAUUGUCUCGAGUAUAUGGCAAAUUAGGUAAAACAGGUAUGUAUAUGUCCCGUAAUACUAUUUGGU